CGGACCUCCGAUCAAGCAAGAGGACCCGCUGAAUUUAAGCAUAUAACUAAGCGGAGGAAAAGAAACUAACCAGGAUUCCCCCAGUAACGGCGAGUGAAGCGGGAAGAGCUCACGUUGUAAAUCUGACUUCGGUCCGAAUUGUAGUCUGGAGAGGCGUGACCAGCUGGAGACGGGGGCGAAGUCUCUUGGAAAAGAGCAUCAAGGAGGGUGACAAUCCCGUUCUUGCCCCCGCUUUCCAUGCGUACGGUCCGUUUUCUACGAGUCGAGUUGCUUGGGAUUGCAGCUCA
rnacentral:rRNA from 1 species